GCCUGCUGCAUGCAAAGGUCGAUGGAGUUGCUUGUCCCACCUGCUAUCAAUUAUCUCAAAAACUUUCUCAUAUUUCCUAACAUCUCCAUCAAAUAAUGCUGCAAUACUCUCUUUCGCUCUAUCCAUAGCUUCAUAAAGAUAUAGCCCAUUUGUGGUUUUUUCUACCCAUCCACCAUACGGAGCACCCGAAUAAAAGGACCACCAACUUUAAGAGCCCGAACGACAUCAUUCCAGAAUGAUGGAGCGAUAAGAAUUUUGGCAACCACUCUCCCCGCAGCUUCCUUUGCAUACUUAUUAUCUUUCCAAU
rnacentral:lncRNA from 1 species